AGGUUAAGUUAUUAAGGGCGCAUGGCGGAUGCCUUGGCACUAGAAGCCGAUGAAGGACGGCACUAACACCGAUAUGCUUCGGGGAGCUGUAAGUGAGCUUUGAUCCGGAGAUUUCCGAAUGGGGGAACCCACUGUUUUUAAUAGGACAGUAUCUACACGUGAAUUCAUAGCGUGAUGAUGGCAGACUCAGGGAACUGAAACAUCUAAGUACCUGAAGGAAGAGAAAGAAAAUUCGAUUCCCUUAGUAGCGGCGAGCGAAACGGGAAGAGCCCAAACCAAGAAGCUUGCUUCUUGGGGUUGUAGGACACUCUAUACGGAGUUACAAAGGAAUGAGUUAAGCGAAGCGGCAUGGAAAGGCCCACCAAAGAAGGUAACAGUCCUGUAGUUGAAAGUUCAUUCCCUCCAGAGUGGAUCCUGAGUACGGCGGAACACGUGAAAUUCCGUCGGAAUCUGGGAGGACCAUCUCCCAAGGCUAAAUACUCUCUAGUGACCGAUAGUGAACCAGUACCGUGAGGGAAAGGUGAAAAGCACCCCGGAAGGGGAGUGAAAGAGAUCCUGAAACCAUGUGCCUACAAGUAGUUAGAGCCCGUUAAUGGGUGAUAGCGUGCCUUUUGUAGAAUGAACCGGCGAGUUACGAUCCCAUGCAAGGUUAAGCUGAUAAGGCGGAGCCGUAGCGAAAGCGAGUCUGAAUAGGGCGAAUGAGUAUGUGGUUGUAGACCCGAAACCAGGUGAUCUACCCAUGU
rnacentral:rRNA from 1 species